GACGAACGCUGGCGGCGUGCUUAACACAUGCAAGUCGAACGAAGAGCGAUGGAAGCUUGCUUCUAUCAAUCUUAGUGGCGAACGGGUGAGUAACGCGUAAUCAACCUGCCCUUCAGAGGGGGACAACAGUUGGAAACGACUGCUAAUACCGCAUACGAUCUAAUCUCGGCAUCGAGGAUAGAUGAAAGGUGGCCUCUACAUGUAAGCUAUCACUGAAGGAGGGGAUUGCGUCUGAUUAGCUAGUUGGAGGGGUAACGGCCCACCAAGGCGAUGAUCAGUAGCCGGUCUGAGAGGAUGAACGGCCACAUUGGGACUGAGACACGGCCCAGACUCCUACGGGAGGCAGCAGUGGGGAAUCUUCCGCAAUGGACGAAAGGCUGACGGAGCAACGCCGCGUGAGUGAUGACGGCCUUCGGGUUGUAAAGCUCUGUUAAUCGGGACGAAAGGCCUUCUUGCGAAUAGUGAGAAGGAUUGACGGUACCGGAAUAGAAAGCCACGGCUAACUACGUG
rnacentral:rRNA from 1 species